rnacentral:lncRNA from 1 species
GACACAGCAGGAGCUCGUGCAGACUCGCUUGAAGUUUGGAGCUCGAUGCAAGCUCACAGGCAGAGGUGAGUGCUACCUCCAUAUGUUACUUCAUCUACCUGUAAUUUCCCUUUCCUAUAGUUCAAAGUGAUGGAAACAGAGAGGAGAGGCAGAGUGUAUGCACAUAUGCACGUACUGUAGUUUGACCUGCAGCUUCACUUUUCCAUUCUUAGUUUUCAAUCACACGAGCGCAAGACUACAUGGAACUGGAAAACUAAAUCAUGGAGGAAUAACCAGCAACUAAUUGUAUUCAUAUAUAUCUUUAUUUGAGCAUAAAACUAUCAGUUAGCAGUUGGAAUUCAUAGAAAUUAUGGAAAUCAUGCAAAACUAUACUAUGAAACUUAAUACACAAUUAUAUUUUCUACAGGCUACCAUCCUAAAACUGAGACAUACCUUAGAACAAUGAACAAUGAGUAUCAAUCCAACUAUACCUUUACAAGCACUCACUUAGUAGACGACAAGCAUGGAUGGUAAUACAACUGCAUUUUACACAAAAUACUAUUAUAUCAUUGUAAUGCAUAUAAUACAUACAAACUAUUAAAACAAAUUCAGAGGCUUCACCUCGUUGUCAGCCGUUAGUAUAAAAUGCUGAGAUGACAAAAAAUGGUAAAAAAAGGCUGAGAUGACAAAACAAAAAAUGUAGCUUGGAAUAUAGCUGAGAAUAUAUAAAUCUUAGAUAAUCAGUAAAAUAAAAUUGCAAUUUUUUCUUGGACAAAAUGUACCUUGUGGAAAAUCAUCUUAACUAUAAUUGAUUAUUGUCUCCCCUUGGAACUGCUGUACAAAACUUGAAGAAAUCGUAUACUAUAGUGAAGCACUAAAGCACAUGCAUAUACAUGAGGCAUGUUCGAAACAUGAGGCCACUCCUUUCUAUAUGUAUACGUGAGGCAUGUUUGAAACUGAUUUUGCUGAUGUGCAUGGCCGCUUGUGUGGCAUGCCCGCGAUUAUCACUCCCAGAAUUAUAAUAUAAUUCUGAAGGAUUAAUUUGCACGCCCACGGUCAUCACUCCCAAAGCUAUUUCUGUAAUUUGCAUGUCAUAGAUUAAACUCUUUGUUUGUUUUAAUCUUAUCUCCUCGUAUGAUAGGAGGGUCUAAAAUUUGUAGAUUCAAGGCGCAACAACUUACCUAUGCAUGAUGAAGUGCCAGAAGCUGCUUCCAUGCUCGAGAACACAGUUGAUGCAUGCUGAUCCACAGAGAGAGCAAUUUUCUAUCAAUCCUGAUCUAUUCUCAUGUGAUCUAGGGGGCAACAUUGACAAUGUAGUAGAUGGGAAGGAGAAAGGAUGUAGCCGGAAAGAUAUUUUGGCGAUUAUCUGUUGUUACACAAGAGAAAAAAAGUUUGUUUUGCUGAUUAUCUAGAACAAAUUAGAGAGGUACGCUGUGUUUUAUUGAGUCCAACUUCCAUGUUGUGUUUCUCCUUUAACACGUGCACGUGGUUCCUCUUUUGAUUGUGCAUUCUCAGCUGCUAAUUUUUGCUAGGCUAUGUCCAUCUAAUGAGAGGCUUUCCUUCCUUUAUUUUCUCUGCCAGAUUUGAAUGGUGUUUCCCAAAAGUCGGAAUUGAACAUCCCACGGGAAUCCCUUCAAUAAUUUCCUUCAGUUAGAGAUUUCAUUGUUCCUCCUUCCUCCUUUGAUUUAGAAGAUGAUCAGGAUUUCCUUCAUAAUUUCCUAACGUAUUUCUCUGCCAGAGUCACUUAAAUUCUUUCCCUUCUUGGUUAAUUUCCUUCCUUAUUUCUCUGCCAGAAUCACUCAAUUCCUUCCCUUACUUGGUUAAUUUUCUUCCUUAUUUCUCUGCCAGAAUCACUCAAUUCCUUCCCUUACUUGGUUAAUUUUCUUUCUUAUUUCUCUGCCAGUCAUUCAAUUCAUUCCCUUCCUUGGUUAAUUUCCUUCCUUAUUGCUCUGCGAGUCUCAUUCAAUACCUUCCCUUCCUUGGUUAAUUCCUUCCUUAUUUCUCUGCCAGAGUCACUCAAUUCAUUCCCUUCCUUAUUCCUUGCAUGCGUUCUCACACCCUUGGCUACGGCAACUUGAUACGGAGAAAAUAUAAAAAUGGAUUUAAAUUGGGAGGAUUUAAUGGAAGAGGGCGAGGUGGGACUAUGCUGCACAAGAGGAAGAGGGAAGAUAGCUCUGGAAUGGCGCCAAGGCUCCUUGCCGCGAACUCGACGGCGUCCAUGUGCGGAGGCAGGCGGAGGCCGGCGCCGACGAGCAGGCAGUGGAGCGUGUUGACGGAGCCAUGGUGGAGGUCAUGCGCGCCGAUCUGCUCCACCCACCUCGAGCUGACGCGAGGAAGAGGGAAGAUAGCUCAUUAGCUCUGCAGCGGUGCCAUGGCUGCCGGCCAGCGAGCGCCUCACCGUGGCUGCUGGCUGACGAGCACAGGGGAGCUCAGGUGCUUGGGAAUGGAG